AGGUUCAUCAUGAAGACCAGCUGUGGGAAUGGACUCACAGGCAUUGCCUUCAUCCACCUUCUACUUAAAACUCCUUCUCUCACCGUUUCUGCAACCCCUCCUCCUCCCAUUCCACAGGCAAACCUGAACCUAUCCCGAAUGAAAUAAACAUUUUCUGAAGAGGAUGAAAAAGUGGAGCACAACAGUUGCCAGAACAAAAUCCACUUAUGGAACACAAAAACUGUAAAAAAAGGCACGAGGGACCUAAAAGUAACUUGAAGUCCAAAACAAACCUGCAUAAUCCAUGUGAAACUAUGAAACCACUUUAAAUACCACACUCACAUGAUUUUAUUCUUCGAGCUUUGUAAAUUGCUGGAUGAAUUCAUCACAGUUAGACAUGGGCAUAUUAGUUCUGAGAAAAGCUGCUGCAGGAAUUGUACACAAUUAUUUAUAUUAAUGAUUAUUUCUGGUGCCAUUGGCAUAUGGUCUGUAUGUUUAGAGAACACCCAAUCCCACAUGGUAAUCAUUAAGCUUCUGUUGGUUAUAUAGAACCCUUGGGCACCUCAUGAUGCACAUGCAAUGGAUUUUCCUGGCUCUCAUCGAAAAGACAACCUUCAAUAUGAAUGAAUCUUCUGGCUUAGACUUCGUGCUCCACAUCCUGCAUUGGCUGUGAAUCCACAGCCUUUCGUCCCAAACCCUUCCACCUUCUUUUAACCUUGUCGAAUUAUUGACUGUCUCUUCAAAACAAUCAAACAAUACUUGCACAUGGAAUGAAAUUAAAGAAAGAUGAUUUUGUACAAAAUUAGCUUUUUUUAAUUUAGAGCUUCUGAACUUCAUUUUUCCUUGACAAUUUCUGAGCUUCCAAAUGUGUCACAGCCAGCAUGGAACUCAGCAGUAACUAUUUAUCUUUGGUUUAAACCAGCAUCUGCAGUUCUUUGUUUCUACAGUUUAGAGUUGUGCAGGUUGGUUCAAGAACCUAAUAGUUGUCGGAAAGUAACUGUUCCUGUUCUGAUGAUGUGGGACUUCAGGCUUCUGUUCCUCCUGCCUAACGUUAGCAGCGGGAAGAGGGCUUUACCAGUUGAUGUGGAUCCUUGAUGAUGGAUGCCACGUUCUUGAGGCAGCGUUUCAUGUAGAUGCUCUCGAUGGACGGCAAUACAGUGCCUGUAAUGAACCAGGCUGAGUCCGCCACUCUCUGCAGCUUAUUUUCCUGUGCGUUGGAAUUGCCGUACCAGGCAUGAGCAACCAGUCAGGAUUCCCCCUGCUG